CAAGAUGACUGGGUUAGUGAUGAACUGGUUGUUUACCGAAUACUUUGCCCUGAUGAGGUCAUUGGAAGUGUUAUUGGUAAGAGCGGGAAGGUGAUAAACUCAAUAAGACAAGAAACGAGGGCAAAGAUUAAGGUGGUUGAUCCAUUUCCUGGUGCUAAGGACCGUGUUAUAACAAUAUUCUGCUUUGUUAAGGAUAAGGAGGAUGUGGAAGUUGAUGAUGAGUUCAAUGACAGGCAAACAUUAUGUGCAGCCCAAGAUGCUCUUCUUAAAGUUCAUGCUGCCAUUGCUAAUGCACUGGCUUCUGCUGGAGAUUUAGACAGGAAACAGAGGGAUAAGGAACAAUGCCAAAUUCUUAUCCCUUCAAGCCAAUCUGCAAAUGUCAUUGGUAAGGCAGGAUCGACGAUAAAAAAGCUCAGAAGCAAGACAAGGACCAG
rnacentral:misc_RNA from 1 species